AGAGAAAUUAGAAAUAUGAGCGUGAAAAUGACUCGGGCAAAUUGAUUUAUGUAAAGAUACAUUAGCGCUCAAAUAUAAAAUCAUUCAACGGUUCUAUAAUAUGUAUAUAAAACGUCUGAAAAAAAAAAACAAUCAUCAUCAAAUUUAAGUACUCAAAAAUGUUCGUAUAGAUGAUUGCUGAUGGUCUGUAAUAAAAAAAAACACCCUAUAAAUUAUG